rnacentral:lncRNA from 1 species
CAUUUUUCGCUUCCCUUCUUCCUUUCCUCUACAUUACAUUCUCCACAUUACUUAGGGAAAUUUAUGUAAUUACGUUGUUAUAGAUAAAUAUAUGUAAUAGCGUCCACAUUACUUAGGGAAAUUUAUGUAAUUGCGCUGCUAUGAAUAAAUAUAUCUAAUAUCGUCCUCGUUAUUCAAGCUCAUCUAGUAUUCAUAAAUACAAAGAAGAAUUAGGAACACUAUUUUUCUUAUAAGAUAGCUAUCAACCUGUAAAUAGAUUGACAUUUUCAUUAAAAACAAAGUAUGACCUAUAAAUUUUAUUUUAUCCCAUAAAAUCAUUAUUAUUUACCUGGUUGACAUUUUCAUUAAAAACAAAAUAUGACCUAUAAAUUUUAUUUUAUCCCAUAAAAUCAUUAUUAUUUAUCUUUUAUCCGGUAAAUCUUGAGGCAAGGGCCCAUUAAGGUCAUCGCAUAUAUUUAUACGUCAAUUUUUUUUAAUGAGGUGUAGUGAAAAUUAUCAAAUUCUGAGAAGUUAAAAUUAAGGGUAGACGAUGACACAAACAUCAAAUUCAAAUUCUGACUCAGGUUAAGGAUAAACUAUCACAUAAACAUUAAAAUUAAGGGUAGACUAUGACACAAACAUCAAAUUCUGAAUCAGGUUUUAUACAUGGCUAAACAUAAUAAAGGUUGAAACUCAAUACAUAUUUUAUACAUGGAUGAACAUAAUGAAGUUGAAAUUCAUAGAAUGGCGGUAAUAAGGUUGAAACUCAAUACAUUGGUAAAUUAGUAGGUUCACCUUUUUGUUGAAGCCCAAAAAAUCAAUAAAUAUCAGAAGACAUGCCACGUGAAAAAUAGAACAUCAAAAUGAAUGGAGAGGAUACAAAAAUUAUAUCUUUUUGUACAUUUAUGGAUAGUAGUAUUAUUCGAUCAUAUAUUUUUAUUGGAGUUUAGUUUAUCCCAUUUUAAAUUUGCUUGCUAUUUUUAUUCUUUAGAGCAUUCUUUUUCAUUGUUUGUUUGAUAGUUCAUUUUGAGCUUGCUCACUAUUUUGUUUUCUUUAGAAUAUCCUUUUUUAUUGUUUUGUUUGAUAGUUUUUCUUGAUGCUUGUUUUAGAUGUAUUUUUUUAUCAAUACCAUCCUUUAAUUUCAGAUAUUGCUCUAUUUAUUUUUAUUUUCUUUUCUAUAGAAAUUACUAUAGUUCUUAAUUUUCUAUAGUUCUUUUUAUGAAAUAAUUACCUUUAUUCAAUAAGGUGCCUACUCAAAAAAAAACUAAAUACUAAAUUGCCCCAUUUCACAAUGGGGAACCACUAGUAAAAAUUUGGUAAUUACAUUCGGCCGAAUUUAAAUUAUCAAAAUGCCUGGUUUUCAAUGCGAAUGAAAAGCAAUUUAAGCAUUUUAAAAAAUAAUGUGAAAAAUAUAAAAAUACCUUUUAGUCAAUUCCAAUGCCCCCAACAUAUUUUCAUCUUCAUUGUGCCACAUAUUCUCACCGAAAAUUCUAGCUUACUAACUAAAAUUUAUUUUGGUCUCACAAGUUCAUUGUUUGCUUUCUUUAUUCUUUAUUUUGGUCUGACAAGUUCA